ACUCCUACGGGAGGCAGCAGUAGGGAAUCUUCGGCAAUGGGGGGAACCCUGACCGAGCAACGCCGCGUGAGUGAAGAAGGUUUUCGGAUCGUAAAGCUCUGUUGUUAGAGAAGAACGUGUGUGAGAGUGGAAAGUUCACACAGUGACGGUAACUAACCAGAAAGGGACGGCUAACUACGUGCCAGCAGCCGCGGUAAUA
rnacentral:rRNA from 1 species